GACGUAGGGGGCGAGCGUUGUCCGGAUUUAUUGGGCGUAAAGCGUGCGUAGGCGGCUUCGCAAGUCGGGUGUGAAACCCCGGGGCUCAACCCCGGAACUGCAUCCGAUACUGCGUGGCUAGAGGUAGGUAGGGGAGAUCGGAAUUCCUGGUGUAGCGGUGAAAUGCGCAGAUAUCAGGAGGAACACCGGUGGCGAAGGCGGAUCUCUGGGCCUUACCUGACGCUCAGGCACGAAAGCUAGGGGAGCGAACAGG
rnacentral:rRNA from 1 species